rnacentral:rRNA from 1 species
CCGCGACCCCAGGUCAGGCGGGACUACCCGCUGAGUUUAAGCAUAUCAUA